rnacentral:tRNA from 1 species
GGGGCCUUAGCUCAGAUGGGAGCGCGCCUGAUUCGCAUUCAGUCGGUCAGCGGUUCGAGCCCGCUAGGCGCCACCA